AGAAACUUAAGUUAAUAGACUAAAAGCCUUCAAAGCUUUAAGCAGGAGUUAAAACCUUCUAGUUUCUG
rnacentral:tRNA from 1 species